AGCUUUGCGCAGUGGCAGUAUUAUAGCCAAUGAGGUUAAUAGGAGGCGUGAUUAUUGCUAGUUGAAAAUUAUUUCCACAGAUUGCAUUGAGAUUAAAUAAAAAGAUUUCUUUGGUACAAUUGUACAACAAGUACAUUGU